AAAGUUAGAGGUUCGAAGGCGAUCAGAUACCGCCCUAGUUCUAACCAUAAACGAUGCCAACCAGCGAUCCGCCUGAGUUCCUCAAAUGACUCGGCGGGCAGCUUCCGGGAAACCAAAGUGUUUGGGUUCCGGGGGAAGUAUGGUUGCAAAGCUGAAACUUAAAGGAAUUGACGGAAGGGCACCACCAGGAGUGGAGCCUGCGGCUUAAUUUGACUCAACACGGGAAAACUUACCCGGCCCGGACACUGGAAGGAUUGACAGAUUAAGAGCUCUUUCUUGAUUCAGUGGGUGGUGGUGCAUGGCCGUUCUUAGUUGGUGGAGCGAUUUGUCUGGUUAAUUCCGAUAACGAACGAGACUCUAGCCUACUAAAUAGGCGUUCCGAUCCUUUAUGUCGGACGUUCUUCUUAGAGGGACAAGCGGCUUUUAGCCGCACGAGACAGAGCAAUAACAGGUCUGUGAUGCCCUUAGAUGUCCGGGGCCGCACGCGCGCUACACUGAAGGAAUCAGCGUGUGCUUUCCCUGUCUGGUAGGACUGGGUAACCCGUUAAACCUCCUUCGUGAUAGGGAUAGGGGCUUGUAAUUCUUCCCCUUGAACGAGGAAUUCCCAGUAAGCACGAGUCAUAAGCUCGUGUUGAUUACGUCCCUGCCCUUUGUACACACCGCCCGUCGCUACUACCGAUUGAAUGAUUUAGUGAGGUCUUCGGACUGGCGCUCGUAGCGACCAACUGGCCGCGCCGACGUGCCGGAAAGAUGACCAAACUUGAUCAUUUAGAGGAAGUAAAAGU
rnacentral:rRNA from 1 species